rnacentral:rRNA from 1 species
UGGGGAAUAUUGCACAAUGGGCGCAAGCCUGAUGCAGCCAUGCCGCGUGUAUGAAGAAGGCCUUCGGGUUGUAAAGUACUUUCAGCGGGGAGGAAGGCGAUAAGGUUAAUAACCUUGUCGAUUGACGUUACCCGCAGAAGAAGCACCGGCUAACUCCGUGCCAGCACCCGCGGUAAUACGGAGGGUGCAAGCGUUAAUCGGAAUUACUGGGCGUAAAGCGCACGCAGGCGGUCUGUCAAGUCGGAUGUGAAAUCCCCGGGCUCAACCUGGGAACUGCAUUCGAAACUGGCAGGCUAGAGUCUUGUAGAGGGGGGUAGAAUUCCAGGUGUAGCGGUGAAAUGCGUAGAGAUCUGGAGGAAUACCGGUGGCGAAGGCGGCCCCCUGGACAAAGACUGACGCUCAGGUGCGAAAGCGUGGGGAGCAAACA